rnacentral:rRNA from 1 species
UACGUAGGGUGCGAGCGUUAAUCGGAAUUACUGGGCGUAAAGCGUGCGCAGGCGGUUUUGUAAGCCGGAUGUGAAAUCCCCGGGCUUAACCUGGGAAUGGCAUUCGGGACUGCAAGGCUGGAGUGCGGCAGAGGAGACUGGAAUUCCUGGUGUAGCAGUGAAAUGCGUAGAUAUCAGGAGGAACACCGAUGGCGAAGGCGGGUCUCUGGGCCGAAACUGACGCUGAGGAGCGAAAGCGUGGGGAGCGAACAGG